rnacentral:rRNA from 1 species
GGACCUAGGUGCUAUCAGAUUCGCAAUAGACAUGCAAGUGUAAUGUCUCUUCGGAGGCAUCGCGAAAGGCUCAGUAACACGUCGCCAAUCUGCCCUAUGGACGGGGAUAAACUCGGGAAACUGAGACUAAUACCCGAUAGGUAUGGAAUCCUGGAAGGGGCUAAUACCUAAAGGGUCUUCGGAUCGCCAUAGGAUGAGGCCGCGGUCGAUUAGCUAGUAAGUGAUGUAAAGGAUCACUUAGGCGAUGAUCGGUAGGGGCUAUGAGAGUAGGCGCCCCGAGAAGGACACUGAGACACUGGUCCUAGCACUACGGUGUGCAGCAGUUAGGAAUUGUGCCCAAUGCGCGAAAGCGUGAGACCGCGAAUCUGAGUGCUAGGGAAAACCCUAGCUGUGAUGGAGUAUUCAUAGCUCCAACAGCAAGCAGAGGGCAAGGCUGGUGC